rnacentral:rRNA from 1 species
GGACGAACGCUGGCGGCGUGCUUAACACAUGCAAGUCGAACGGAAAGGCCCUGCUUUUGUGGGGUGCUCGAGUGGCGACCGGGUGAGUAACACGUGAGUAACCUGCCCUUGACUUUGGGAUAACUUCAGGAAACUGGGGCUAAUACCGGAUAGGAGCUCCUGCUGCAUGGUGGGGGUUGGAAAGUUUCGGCGGUUGGGGAUGGACUCGCGGCUUAUCAGCUUGUUGGUGGGGUAGUGGCUUACCAAGGCUUUGACGGGUAGCCGGCCUGAGAGGGUGACCGGCCACAUUGGGACUGAGAUACGGCCCAGACUCCUACGGGAGGCAGCAGUGGGGAAUAUUGCACAAUGGGCGGAAGCCUGAUGCAGCAACGCCGCGUGCGGGAUGACGGCCUUCGGGUUGUAAACCGCUUUCGCCUGUGACGAAGCGUGAGUGACGGUAAUGGGUAAAGAAGCACCGGCUAACUACGUG